AUGCUCACUUUGGAAGUACAUAUACUAAAAUUGGAAUGAUACGGAGAAGAUCAGCAUGGCCUCUGUAUAAGGAUGAUAUACAAAUUCAUGAAGUGCUCCAUUUUUUG